rnacentral:rRNA from 1 species
UUGAACGCUGGCGGCAGGCCUAACACAUGCAAGUCGAGCGGAUGAAGGGAGCUUGCUCCUGGAUUCAGCGGCGGACGGGUGAGUAAUGCCUAGGAAUCUGCCUGGUAGUGGGGGAUAACGUCCGGAAACGGGCGCUAAUACCGCAUACGUCCUGAGGGAGAAAGUGGGGGAUCUUCGGACCUCACGCUAUCAGAUGAGCCUAGGUCGGAUUAGCUAGUUGGUGGGGUAAAGGCCUACCAAGGCGACGAUCCGUAACUGGUCUGAGAGGAUGAUCAGUCACACUGGAACUGAGACACGGUCCAGACUCCUACGGGAGGCAGCAGUGGGGAAUAUCGGACAAUGGGCGAAAGCCUGAUCCAGCCAUGCCGCGUGUGUGAAGAAGGUCUUCGGAUUGUAAAGCACUUUAAGUUGGGAGGAAGGGCAGUAAGUUAAUACCUUGCUGUUUUGACGUUACCAACAGAAUAAGCACCGGCUAACUUCGUG